rnacentral:lncRNA from 1 species
GCUCAUCAUACUUAAUGAGAUUAUUAAACCCUAUGUCAAACAGAGAACGGCUGAAAUUUAAAUGGAAUCACAAAGAAGAAGAUCACAGUGCUCCUCUGGUUACUUGUCACUCGCUUUCACUGUUGUCAAGCAAGUUUCAAAUAACUCUUUAUCACAAUUUAGCAGUUCCUCAAAAGGCUGAGCCAAAGUUACCUAAGCCUAACCUGUAUCAAAACUGGGCCUCAUCUCACAUACUGCUGGACCUCUAGGAUGAGAAUUGCACUACUGGUUCCGGAAACCCUGUUUUAGAAUAAAAAAUAAAUAAAUUGCUCCCCCA